AGCUCAAUGGUAGAGCACCUGUUUUUAUGCAGGAAGUCCUAGGUUCAAUUCCUGG
rnacentral:tRNA from 1 species